rnacentral:rRNA from 1 species
AAAGCUCAAAUUUUGAAUCUGGCGCCUUUGGCUCCCGAGUUGUAAUCUAGAGAAGUGUUUUCCGUAGCGGACCGUGUAAAAGUUCCCUGGAACGGGACGUCAUAGAGGGUGAGAAUCCCGUACAUGCCACGGACUACCGUUGCUCUGUGAUACACUCUCAAC